rnacentral:rRNA from 1 species
AGAGUUUGAUCCUGGCUCAGGAUGAACGCUGGCGGCGUGCCUAACACAUGCAAGUCGAACGAAGCUUGACGGAUGAUUUCUUCGGAAUGAAACCAGAUAUGACUUAGUGGCGGACGGGUGAGUAACACGUGAGCAACCUGCCUUUCAGAGGGGGAUAACGGCUGGAAACGGUCGCUAAUACCGCAUGAUGUGUUCGGAUGGCAUCAUCUGAACAUCAAAGAUUUAUCGCUGAAAGAUGGGCUCGCGUCUGAUUAGAUAGUUGGUGGGGUAACGGCCUACCAAGUCUACGAUCAGUAGCCGGACUGAGAGGUUGAACGGCCACAUUGGGACUGAGAUACGGCCCAGACUCCUACGGGAGGCAGCAGUGGGGAAUAUUGCACAAUGGGGGAAACCCUGAUGCAGCAACGCCGCGUGAAGGAUGACGGUUUUCGGAUUGUAAACUUCUUUUCUUAGUGACGAAGACAGUGACGGUAGCUAAGGAAUAAGCAUCGGCUAACUACGUGCCAGCAGCCGCGGUAAUACGUAGGAUGCAAGCGUUAUCCGGAUUUACUGGGUGUAAAGGGAGCGCAGGCGGGACUGCAAGUUGGAUGUGAAAUACCGUGGCUUAACCACGGAACUGCAUCCAAAACUGUAGUUCUUGAGUGAAGUAGAGGCAAGCGGAAUUCCGAGUGUAGCGGUGAAAUGCGUAGAUAUUCGGAGGAACACCAGUGGCGAAGGCGGCUUGCUGGGCUUUAACUGACGCUGAGGCUCGAAAGUGUGGGGAGCAAACAGGAUUAGAUACCCUGGUAGUCCACACUGUAAACGAUGAUUACUAGGUGUUGGAGGAUUGACCCCUUCAGUGCCGCAGUUAACACAAUAAGUAAUCCACCUGGGGAGUACGACCGCAAGGUUGAAACUCAAAGGAAUUGACGGGGGCCCGCACAAGCAGUGGAGUAUGUGGUUUAAUUCGAAGCAACGCGAAGAACCUUACCAGGUCUUGACAUCCGAUGCAUAGUGCAGAGAUGCAUGAAGUCCUUCGGGACAUCGAGACAGGUGGUGCAUGGUUGUCGUCAGCUCGUGUCGUGAGAUGUUGGGUUAAGU